UAUUUCGCGAAAUAGAGAAUCCUCUGAGCAAGUCUGAAGUGACUUAUCAACGCGGCUGCAGGAGAAGUUCUAACAGUCUUUUCCCCGCCAUGGUCCUUUGAAACCUCUUGAGGAGGUGACCCUUUGGAGAAGAGGCCAAUGACAUUCAAAUGCACCAAAGAAGACACACCUCAAGAGGUUUCAGGUUACAGCUGCAGCUUCACACCUCGACGUGGAAGGGACAAUGGAGGAGGUGACCCUUUGGAGAAGAGGCCAAUGACAUUCAAAUGCACCAAAGAAGACACACCUCAAGAGGUUUCAAAGGACCAUGGCGGGGAAAAGACUGUUAGAACUUCUCCUGCAGCCGCGUUGAUAAGUCACUUCAGACUUGCUCAGAGGAUUCUCUAUUUCGCGAAAUAUUCCACUGUUCGCUUAGUAUUUCACUUUGUAAUUGUAAUCCCUAAUACGUUGUUCAGUUAUUAAAUAACUUUUGAUUUUUGAAUUUAAACGAAUUGACUCAUUCGUGUCCUCGUUUCCGGCCG
ensembl:lncRNA